rnacentral:rRNA from 1 species
CAGCAGCCGCGGUAAUACGUAGGUGGCAAGCGUUGUCCGGAAUUAUUGGGCGUAAAGGGCUCGCAGGCGGUUUCUUAAGUCUGAUGUGAAAGCCCCCGGCUCAACCGGGGAGGGUCAUUGGAAACUGGGAAACUUGAGUGCAGAAGAGGAGAGUGGAAUUCCACGUGUAGCGGUGAAAUGCGUAGAGAUGUGGAGGAACACCAGUGGCGAAGGCGACUCACUGGUCUGUAACUGACGCUGAGGAGCGAAAGCGUGGGGAGCGAACAGGAUUAGAUACCCCGGUAGUCCCUGUCUCUUAUAA